ACUCCACUGGAGUUUCCUAAGUGAGCCUGGGUUAUGGGUUUUCAGUCAUGAAAAGUGAAAAUUCACGGUUGAAAUGCUGGGGCUCUUUCCCUUCAAGUCUGGUCGUAGUUAUAACUUCUGUGCACAAUUUCAUCAAGACACUUUUCCUCAGCUCUGCCCCUCAGGAGGUGUUUUGUUCUCUCUUCUGGUUGUGCUCAGGGGAAGCACAACUGUUUGUUGGUGACAUUUCUGGUGACAUUUCUCCCAUGGGCCCGGUAGCAGAGCUUCAGGUGCCCUCUGCUGCUGUUCAUUCUGUCCUGGUGCAACCUCACCUGAGCAACACUUCCCUUUGGCUUCCUGGUAGGUAGCGUAACCACACCAGACAAUGUGCUUGUACUGCAUCAGAGCAGGUUCAAACCAGAUAUGAGGAAAAGAUUCUUCACCAGAGGGUGCUCCCUGGAAUAGGCUCUGCAGGGCAGUGGGAGUAGCCCCAGGUUGCUGGAGUUCAAGGAGCAUUUGGACGCUGUUCUCGGGCAUAAGUUUUGAAUUUUGAGUGGUCCUUUGUGAAGCUAGAAGCUGGACUCCAAGAUUAUUUUGGGUCUCUUGCAACUCAGGAUGUUCUGUAAUUCUCUGAAAAAUACAUGGCUAUACUAACUUGGUGCUGAAUCAACCCAGCUGAUGGCUUUAAAGAAAUCCUCCAUCAGCCAGAAAGACUGAUUUGUUUGUUGUGAUAGGUGCAUCUGGAGAAAGAGCUGCUGUUACCUAGCAGAGAGAAAAUAAAGAGAAUAACUCGCAAACACGAAAGCAGAACUGUUAAUGCUGCUAGACCAGAAACGUGGUUGGUGUGUAGUACUGGGACACGUGAUGUCCAGGGGAACAAAUUCCCCCUGACUGGAGAGCUAUGAAAUAGAUUUGGAUGAGCCCAUUGGCUCUUAAGUUCAUAAUGGUUCUCACAUGAGUGAUCUUAUAUGUAGCCCAUAUAGCAACAGAACUGGGAAUACAUAAUUAACUUCAGUAUGUUGCAGAUCUUAUGGUCUCUGCACAUUGUUACUAUGGGCAGAUGGCUGUUUGAAUCGAUAAAAUGGUUUUCCAUGUAGAAGAGAAUGAAGGUUUCUCCAGGACAUUUCCAGCCAUUAAAGAGAUAAUUACUGUACUUUGGGAGAAUCUGUGAGCUUUGCAGAAGCAAAAAGGAUCAACCUGGGGUCAAAUAAUGAUUUUGUUGUCAGCCUACUAGCCCUGCAAGCCUUUCAAGACCAGGAAGAUCCUUUGCUUCUUUUUCUCUCUGCCUCCUGCUCCUGCAGGAAGCUUCUAGUCAAAAUCUAAAGAAGGUAAACACAUCCUUUCUGAUCUCUCCAUUUGAAAUUCACCUUUCUCAGGCUGAUAUACAAAUUGUUCUCAUCUGACAUCAGCCAGACUUAGUGGAUAAGCAGGAAUGUCUGCUUUUCCCCCUUCACUUUAUUGUCUGUUCUUCUCAACCCACACUCCCACUUUUAAUCUGUUUUGCCUAGCUGCCACUUCUUGUCUGCCACACAGUGAGGAUGCAAGGCAGUGUCUACCUGCUGAGCACUUUGUUGGUAUGAUCCC